UUUUUAUUACUUCUGCCUAAUGCACACCUAUAUAUAUAUAUAUAUAUAUAGGUGUGCAUUAGGCAGAAGUAAUAAAUA